UACGUAGGGUGCAAGCGUUAAUCGGAAUACUGGGCGUAAAGCGUGCGCAGGCGGUGAUGUAAGACAGGUGUGAAAUCCCCGGGCUUAACCUGGGAACUGCAUUUGUGACUGCAUCGCUGGAGUGCGGCAGAGGGGGAUGGAAUUCCGCGUGUAGCAGUGAAAUGCGUAGAUAUGCGGAGGAACACCUGCGGCGAAGGCGGGUUGCUGGGCCGACACUGACGCUGAUGCGCGAAAGCCAGGGGAGCGAACGGG
rnacentral:rRNA from 1 species